rnacentral:lncRNA from 1 species
CGAAGCGCACCUGGCUGUGGGGUGGCUGAAUGGGAAUGUGAUCGUGCAUUCACAGCCCCUUCACUACACUGCCUCCACCUGACUGCUCUCUGGCCCCAGCCCUCUCUGCAACGUGGCCCUUGCUGAGGUCAUAAAUGAUCACAGCCUGCGAAAUCAAGUACCGAGCUGACUUGGCCUCUCCACUGGCUACCCUCUCUUGAAUGGCUCUCCCUUGGUUUCCAGGAAACCUCCCCACUACCUCCUACCUCUGUGGCUGCUCCUUCUCCCUUUCUAACUCCUCUUCCUCUGCCUAUCUCUUCCAUGCUGUCAUUUCCAAAGCUCUUCCUCUACUCUUUUCUCACUCUAGCCUAUUGUACCUAUCCAGUGGGUUUGCCUAUCACCCACAGAUUAAUGCUUCCUUCACUGACAUUUGUGAUCACUGUAGCUGUUCAGCAUCUUCCUUUACUGCAUUGGUACAUUUCCCAUGGUCAUCCCUCCUGGAUUCGGAAAGGGCCAGAUACUAGUUUUACCUAGCCCCACUAACAGCUGGGGUGCUAGCCCAUGACCCAGACUUCUCCAGAUUUACCCGCCUGAGGCAGGGCCUCCUCAAGCUGAUGCCACAAGGAAGCAAAGAAGUUGAAGAAUCUGUCCUGGGGGACCACAGCAGUACUGUAGCAGGACUCCCAAGUUCUUCAGCUUUGGGACUCGGACUGGUUUCCUUGCUCCUCAGCUUGCAGACAACCUAUUGGACCUUGUGAUCGGAGAUGAGAGAACUCAACAAGGCGUGGCAGGCAAUGCCUUUCCGCAGGACAAGGAAAUUCAGACCAGACGGUGAGGAAAAGAACCUGCUCAGUUAAUGGUAUGGCUGCACAACACACAAACUGAACUAAAAUUACAGAAGCUUCUCGAAGUUGUACGCAUAUAGUACCAAAAAAGAGGAAACUGAAGAGAGACAAAUGCAAGGUGGUCCUGAGGCAGGUCGCAGUAAAAGGACGAGGUUAGACCCAAAUGUUGCAGAAACAGCCUUCACCUCAGAGUCAGGGGCCCAAGAUGACACUCCAGGCUCAGCCACACGCUGCCAGGUAAAACGUGUUGGGUUCCCUUCCUGGGCUGCGUUUCCUCAAACACGAAAGACCCCCAAAUUCUGAUCCUUUCACUGGCAACAAGUUAUAAAACUAUGAAGAAAAGGAAGUAAACAUUAAAUCAGGGCAGGGGUGGGGUCACAUACACUUGCCUGAUUUGGAUCAAUGCACUAUAAAAAAGACGAGAAGAAACUCAGGAUUUGGGCCAGUGGCUCAUGCCUGUAAUCCUAGCACACUGAGAGGCCAA